AUUGAACGCUGCGGCAGGCUUAACACAUGCAAGUCGAGCGAGCGGCGGACGGGUGAGUAAUGCUUAGGAAUCUGCCUAUUAGUGGGGGACAACAUUUCGAAAGGGAUGCUAAUACCGCUUACUAAUAGAUGAGCCUAAGUCGGAUUAGCUAGUUGGUGGGGUAAAGGCCUACGAAGGCGAAGAUCUGUAGCGGGGCUGAGAGGAUGAUCCGCCAAACUGGGACUGGGACACGGGCCCGACUCCUACGGGAGGGAGCAGUGGGGAAUAUUGGAGAAUGGGGGGAACCCUGGUCGAACCAUGCCGCGUGUGUGGAGAAGGCCUUAUGGGUGUAAAGCACCUUAAGCGAGGAGGCGUUACUCGCAGAAUAAGCACCGGCUAACUCUGUGCCAGCAGCCGCGGUAAUAC
rnacentral:rRNA from 1 species